UACGGGGGGGGCAAGCGUUGUUCGGAAUUACUGGGCGUAAAGGGCUCGUAGGCGGCCAACUAAGUCAGACGUGAAAUCCCCAGGCUCAACCUGGGAACUGCGUCUGAUACUGGAUGGCUUGAAUUCGGGAGAGGGAUGCAGAAUUCCAGGUGUAGCGGUGAAAUUCGUAGAUAUCGAGAGGAACACCGGUGGCGAAGGCGGCCUUCUGGACAGUUACUGACGCUGAGACGCGAAAGCGUGGGGAGCAAACAGG
rnacentral:rRNA from 1 species